AGAUAACCCAGCAGCAAAAGGCGCAGAUCUUGGUGGUCAGCUGGGUCUAUUUUGUGGGGCCAGUCUGAUCACGAUCAUAGAAAUUAUUGAAUAUCUAUUCACCAAUUUCUACUGGAUAUGCAUUUUCUUUUUGCUGAAGAUAUCUGAAAUGACCCAGUGGACUCCUCCACCUCAGAAUCAUCUGGGAAAUAAAAAUAGGAUAGAGGAGUGUUAAUGGUCACUUAGAAUAAAAUAGUUUCCUUUUCAUGAUACCUUCAGAUUUAUCUUGACUAAUUCAUUGUUACGUCACUUUUCUAUAGUUUUGAGAGUUCGAUAAAAGCCAUUAAAGAUAUGUAUCUCUUCAUAUAUAUUUCUUUCUA
rnacentral:lncRNA from 1 species